UUAUCUAAUUAUAUUAUUUUAUUAUCUUUUAUCUUUUUUUUUUAAACCGGAUAUUACAUUCUACCCACCUUAAAAGAAUUUGGUCCUCCAAAUUUCAAAAUAACAUCUAAAGAAAAAUACAAAUUUGACAUAAUCAAGAAAUUCAUUAUCUAAUUACUAAAUGCAAUUAAUAAAAGAGUUUCAUACAUUAUUCUCUAUUUAAUUUUAAAAUCAUUAAAUUUAGUCAAUACUCUUACCCACAGCUAACUCCCAAAAUCACUCCCCAGGAAAUAUGUAGAUUUUUCAACCUAACACAUUGCGAGGGGCCACCGCUUUGAUACCACCUCUGUAACACCC
rnacentral:lncRNA from 1 species